GUCCUACGGGAGGCAGCAGUAGGGAAUAUUGCACAAUGGGGGAAACCCUGAUGCAGCAACGCCGCGUGAGUGAAGAAGUAUUUCGGUAUGUAAAGCUCUAUCAGCAGGGAAGAAAAUGACAGUACCUGACUAAGAAGCCCCGGCUAACUACGUGCCAGCAGCCGCGGUAAUACGUAGGGGGCAAGCGUUAUCCGGAUUUACUGGGUGUAAAGGGAGCGUAGGCGGUGCAGCAAGUCAGAAGUGAAAGCCCGGGGCUCAACUCCGGGACUGCUUUUGAAACUGUUGAACUAGAUUGCAGGAGAGGG
rnacentral:rRNA from 1 species